CCUGCGGCCGCCCUCUCCCCUCCAUCCCCAGCGUUUUUCCCGGCUGGGACACCGCUCCGGAGAUCUCCGCAGGGACCUCCUGCCCUGAGCGCGCCCUCUGCGGGGCUGCCACGGCCAUUUCACGCUGCCGGUGCCCGGUUAGGUCCCAGCGCCCCACCGGGAGGCGGAGCCGCUCGGGAGACAAACUCCGCGACGGAAGCGGUUCCCUCGGACCGUUUCUUGGCGACGGUGGAGCCGGAGGCGGAGGGGGUGGCGGGGAGGCGGGGAGGCGAAAGGGCUCCGGCCGUGCCCCUUCCUCGUGCCGCGAGCGGCAGGGCUCCAGGUGACUUCGGGCAGGCGUGCGGGGCGGCAUCCGGAGCGUCCCCCUCGCCUCUGCCCGCAGCCGAGUCGGGGCGAGGCUCCGCGUCCCCGCGAGAGGCAGCGGCACUCCGGGCUGCUCCGCCGAGGGGGGGUCGGGGGCAGUGCUGCCACUGCCCUCGCGCUGGCGCUGAGGGGGAAUGGGCUGAAGCUCCGCCUGGGGAGGUUCAGGCUGGAUAUCAGGAAAAAAUUCUUCACGGGAAGAGUCAUCGGGCACUGGAACAGCUGCGCAGGGAGGGGGGCGAGCAGACACAUACACAUACAAAUACACACACAUACAUGAACAUGGAAACAAACCCACAUGUACAUACAUACUCAUGCCUGGAGAAGAGGAGACGUUAUUGCUCUCUACAACUACCUGAAAGGAGGUUGUGGAGAGGAGGGAGCUGGGCUCUUCUCCCAAGUGACAGAGGACAGGACAGGAGGGAAUGGCCUCAAGCUCCGUAAGGGGAGGUUCAGGAUGGAUAUCAGAAAAAAAUUCUUCACAGUAAGAGUCAUCGGGCACUGGAACAGCUGCCCAGGGAGGUGGUUGAGUCACCUUCCGUGGAGGUGUUUAAGGAACGGGUGGAUGAAGUGCUUAGGGACAUGGUUUAAGGGAGUGUUAGGAAUGGUUGGACUCGAUGAUCCAGUGGGUCCUUUCCAACCUGGUGAUUAUUCUAUGAUUCUAUGAUCCCUCGGGCUGAGCUUGUGCGGAGCCGCGGCCCCCACGCUCCCCCUUGCCCACCGCAGGGCCUCGUCAGCACAUGGCUUAAACUUCGGAGGGCUGCAGCUGGUUUCAAGCGCUGGUGACUCUCAAAGGCUUUCAUGGGAAACUCGAUGACUUUUUUUAGGGGAAGAGUGGCAAGAAACCUGCCCGGAGGAGAAGGACGUGGGGGUGUUGAUUGGCUGCACGCAAGGGGGCCCUGGUACAGGGCUCUCAAUUUUUUUUCAGAAGGAAGUGUGUUAAUGUAAAGAGAGCUUUUUUCAGGGACUGAAAUUUUGAGUAUAUUCUUGGAAUGUUUGGAAAUCCUCUUCUGAAAUAACUGUGAAGUCCAAGAUGGAUUAAGUAAACCACCUUUUCCCCAAUUAACUGUUUUCUUCAUUGUGCCUAUGGAUUAGGCAAUUGUAGACAGCGUUCUUUUUGGAGUUUUGUCGAGUGGUUAGGAUGUGAUAGAGCUGAUUUUUAUAAGACAGUUUGUUCUAUCGGUAGCCUUCAGUGAAACCAGGAAAUGUGUGUAUGUUGAUGCAAUAGGGUUCAGAAAUUAUUUUUCAGAACCCCUUGCUGCAAUUUGGCUGUACAUAGAAAGGAUGAAGCACGUUAGUAGUGUGAGAAUAUUUUUAUUAUGUGUCCAGGAUGAAAUUAAUGAGAUGGGAAAAAUCAAUAGCUGAUCUGUGCCUGGAAAUAAAUUCUUACAUACAUUUUGGCCUUGACCAAACUAGGAGAUUGACCCAUUCCAAGGCAAAGAUGCACAUGAAUGAAAUUUUCCUGGAGCGCUUGGAGGUGAGAAUAAGGGACAUGUAAAGCUCUAAGCAGCAGGAAAAUUAAGAGGUGAUUUUAAAUCUGCCAAAGAGAGCAAUCUCGCUUGAAAUAUUUGACCAAAUUGAGAUAGGGAUUCAGUUCAGCAAGUCUGCAGUGACUCACAAACUAUUGGAUGGCUAAAUAGACAGUAGAGGAAUAAUUAGGUGGCAAGAAUAGAUUGUGAAGGUACCAGCAAAGUUCAGAAGUCUGGAAGAAAAAUGCUUUCAUGUAUUCCAAGUAAAGAAAAAAGAAACUACUUCUCUUUGGCACAUUUUAAAUGUAUUCAGAAGAUAUGCAGCCUUUUCAGUUCAGCAUUGGAGUAGGCUGCAACAGUAGGAACAAUCUGUUGCCUGGUGUCUGAAGCAAUCACGUAUGUGUCUCUUCCUCAGGCAGAGAAGGGCAUAAUCCCAGGUUAUUGCAUUUGAUGGGCAGUAAUUCCCUAUUUCCUUGAUCUGGGGCUGCAUAAGAAGUCGCUUCCUUCACUCACUUCUUCGAGAUGGAAGCAUGACCUUCUGUACUUUGAGGAUAAGCAUGUCAGUGAAGGUGGUAUUUUGAGCUUAGAUCUGGUGCGGUUGACAUUUGGUGAUCAAAAACGUUUGGCAUCAGAACAAGUCAUGUAUGAGGAUUUGGAAUGCUGUAAAGAAAGGUGCAGUUUAGCUAUCACGGGUGGAAUUCUUCCCUUGAGAGGGCAGACCAGCAAUACAGAAUUCCCGAGUUGUCAGACCAUAGAAGGCUUUUGCGACUACAUUGACAGCAAGGACAGCACUAAUGAAGGCACAAGACCUGACAAAGUUGGUACCGUUCCGGAUAAAGCACCGUGUCUUACCAAUAUCCCUGGUCCGUCGGGGGCAGCGGAGGUCGGUUGCGGUCGAUGGCUCCCCAAGAAACACUCGGUGCCAGCUGGAGCGAGAUCGAUGCGAGCCGCCUCAGCAAUGCCCGCGAGGUCCCACCUGGGUCGCCAGAACUGUUAGCAUAGAGACAAACAUAUAACCAUUCCAGAGAGAAGAGAUCAACACCUGCUCCCUCUCCUUCCCUUGUGAGGAAGCAGUAAACUGCUGUGAUAUCCCCCCUAGCCUCCUCUUCUCCAGGCUGAACAGACCAAGUGAGCAAGAGGCUUGCUUGCAGCGUCAAAGCAGAACACCCACUGCUGCAGCACCAGUGAGAGGGAACAGCUCGAUGACCACAGCUCCUCCCAGCCCACCAUAGGUAGCGGAGAGCAUGGGCACAGAGCCAGAGGGGUGCUGUCCCAUCUACCUGGGAGGAGGCAAGCUUUGUUAUGCCAUGCCUCCACCAAAUUUACUACUUAUGUAUCCUGCAGUGGGCUGACCACAAGCCCGAGUGUCCCCUCUGCAAGAGCAGGAUUGUGUCCAUCUUGCACUCAGUGUGGGCAGAAGAUGACUAUGUGGAGCAUGCUGAUAAGGAUGGAAGAAUUCCUUCCUGAUUGCCAUUAUUUUGCAUUGUGGUCACUGGAUAUUGUAACAAGCAUGGCUUCUCCAAACCGCAUUUUGGAUAUUCUGGCACACGAGUGGAGUCUAACCUAUGGAGCUUCUCCUUCUCACCUACCAUCUGACCAGACUCUUAAUGCAAGUGGCUAUGAUUUCGAUGGUGUGUGCUUGCUGAGCUCUGGAGUUGUUCAUACAGGUUGCACCAGUUUCCAGAAGGAGGAGGUGCAGUUAGAGGAGAUAUUGUCUGUGUCUGUCCGGAUGGGUUCUUUAGAACUUCUGACUGAAUGCAUUAAGCAUUGGAAAUCUGAAAAUAAGGCUAUGCAUUUGUCUGCUCCUUUCCACAACUAUCCUCUGCUUCAGACUUGCUAUACUGCUCAGCGACAGAAACUGGAGCGUUUGUCAAGAAGUAGUCACUCGUCUGCCAAGGAGAGACAGAUGGAUAAUGAAGCCAUCAAGUCAAGCUGUAGUGAAGUGCCACUUUGCCUCACUGUGUUGUUAUCUAACAGCUGAACCUAGAAGUGUAACAACGUCCUUCCCUAUGCCAAAGCUGCUCUGUGAAGCUGUAAUUUGUUACAAACCAUUGUUGACUCCACUUGAAGUAGUUUGUUUGCAUCUGGGGAAUAAAUAGUCUGAAGACCAAAGCCAUUACCAACUGUAGUAAAACAUGCUAAAGCAGGAAAUGUGCAUACAAGAGCAACUGUCAUCAGUAUUAUAUUGUCAAACAUUGGAAACUCAAGUGUGGGAAAGAAGCAGAAAACCAGUUUCUCACAAUAUGAUAGGUAAGCAGCCUUUUAACAAAAGUUAGUCUUCAGCUACAUGUUUGGAGAAAGAAAAAUCCAUUUGAACUAUGUUAGUAUUUUGAGGGAAGGUACACCUGAAUAAAGCUCUCUUUGGCUUUUUUGCAUGUACAACAUGUAACAUUUAAGAAUCAAUACAUCCUAUUUGGAGAGAGAGAGGUUUUUUGCUAUGAUAAUCUUAUUCAUUCAAAUACAUAUAUUUACAUUAUGGUAAAUAUGUUUACAGUAUUUAAGAUAGAUGAAGCUAAAACUGUGAUUACUAUCAAGCUAUGGGUGUACAGAUUAUUUUGACAGACUUGAUUGUGUGAUCAAAUAGAAAUCUUUUACCACUUCCAGCCCAGUAUCUGUCUUGUUUCUACCUUUUUAACUUGAAAAUAGGCACAACUAUGAAGAGCCAAAAAGAGGCUAGUAGUUGUCUGGUU